AGCAGUAGCCGCGGGAAUACGGAGGGAGCUAGCGUUGUUUGGAAUUACUGGGCGUAAAGCGCGCGUAGGCGGUUACUCAAGUCAGAGGUGAAAGCCCGGGGCUCAACCCCGGAACUGCCUUUGAAACUAGGUGACUAGAAUCUUGGAGAGGUCAGUGGAAUUCCGAGUGUAGAGGUGAAAUUCGUAGAUAUUCGGAAGAACACCAGUGGCGAAGGCGACUGACUGGACAAGUAUUGACGCUGAGGUGCGAAAGCGUGGGGAGCAAACAGGAUUAGAGACCCCCGUAGUCCCUGUCUCUUAUAC
rnacentral:rRNA from 1 species